rnacentral:lncRNA from 1 species
GUCAGUCCUUAUUUCUCCUUAUUACACCUCCUUAUUUUGUUAAAUGCCUCAUUAUGCUAUCAUUAGUUCUAUUUACCAUUUUUACCUGAAUGUUUUUUGGUUUUUUUUGCUAGCUACCUCAUAUCUGUACAUAGCCUGAUCCUGAACAAAACCUAGCCACCUUUCUUAUAGUUCUUGUGUUCCAGUAUCUUAGUUUCAUUUAUGUGUUUAUUUUAUAUCACUUAACCAGAUAGGACCAUGGCUUCAUCUCAAGUAUCACAUCUCUUAGAAUCUAUUCCAAACUCAGGAGGCAGAGACAUGCUCGUUGGAAGGUAUUGGCUUUAACUCAGGUUGCAGAAGAUCACAUCCUGCUACUCCAUUCCCUGAAGAUAGAUUCCUUCCACACCUUGAACCAUCCUUUUAAUGGACAUAAAAUGGAGCACCAGAGGCAAGUAGUCUGUAGCCCAGUCCAACUUGGCAACAGGAUGUCUGUCCAGGGACAUACAGGAGACACAAGACAGGAACCUUAAAUGAACAAUAUCAGGAAAGAGACUCCAGACUGAAUGCCCAGACAAUGUAAUAUGGCUUUUUAAUUGAAAAGUAUUUGUUUGGGCUAAUUGUUCAGAGAUAAUAGCUGGGUAUAUUGCAGAAUCUAAGAUAAUGGCACCUCUACAUAGAACAUAUCGUCAAGUCUGUGGGACAUGAAAUGGAGAAGAGAAAACAUAGCAUUAUCACGUUUGUCCUUGUGGAAGACAAGAAGAACAAAAGAUCACAUGUAGGGCUCUGUUUCUGGCUGUUAACUGGCAUUUCUAACCUUUAUCUUACACAGCUCCUGACUCCCUGAAUUCAACUAAAGCAUGUCAUCAAAGGGAGACUGCAUUCCAGGCUGGUGAGGGCCACUAGAGGUUGUGAAACAUACACAAUUUUAUUACUUGUAUAUAAAUACAUUCUGUCUGUCAGAGUUAUUUAAAUAAAUUAUUCAGUGCCAUUUCAGAUCAGAACGUCUACAGCAUUUUGUUAUAAG